UGGCUCAGAUUGAACGCUGGCGGCAUGCCUUACACAUGCAAGUCGAACGGUAACGCGGGGCAACCUGGCGACGAGUGGCGAACGGGUGAGUAAUGCAUCGGAACGUGCCCAGUAGUGGGGGAUAGCCCGGCGAAAGCCGGAUUAAUACCGCAUACGACCUACGGGUGAAAGCGGGGGACCGCAAGGCCUCGCGCUAUUGGAGCGGCCGAUGUCAGAUUAGCUAGUUGGUGGGGUAAAGGCCUACCAAGGCGACGAUCUGUAGCUGGUCUGAGAGGACGACCAGCCACACUGGGACUGAGACACGGCCCAGACUCCUACGGGAGGCAGCAGUGGGGAAUUUUGGACAAUGGGGGAAACCCUGAUCCAGCCAUGCCGCGUGGCGGGGAAGAAGGGCCCUCGGGGUUGUAAACCUCUUUUGGUUCGGGGAAGAAGAACUGACGGGUACCGAACGAAUAAGCAUCGGGCUAACUCCGU
rnacentral:rRNA from 1 species